UCAAGUUAAUAUCCAAGUAAUGAUAAUAAUAAUAAUAACAUUCAAAUUAUUAGAAAGUAAAUUUGGGAGAUUUUAGUGUAGGUGAAUGUAUGGCCGAAAAUCAAGAAGAGGAAAGAGUUAGAAGACUAGUUAGUUUUCCUUUUGUUAUUCUUUAAGGUUGAAAGCAUACUCAAUCGUAUUGUGGUCAUCUUGAUACUUGAGUUUUGUGGAGGAGGUGAGUACCUUUAUAUAUUUAUAUAUGAUUUUUUAUAUAUUGGGUCAAUGACAUAAUGGUGGUGAAAUCUAUUUGUGUAAAUAGUUGUAGUGGUGAAGACCAUACGAGGUAAGGCAAUGUGUUCUGAUGAUGAAUGACAUGUUUUAAUAGAUUUCUUGGUUGUAUAGAUAUAUGUAUAUCGUAAUUGAGUAAAGUGGUAAGGUUUAUGAUCUUUGUUAAGAUAAUGGAUAUAUAAUAGAGAUGUUGUAAGACCAUAUUGGAUAUGGCAAUGUGAAUUGAUUAUUGG